GAAAGUUGGUUAAAGAUAAGAUUAAUGAUAGAUCAAGUUACAAGCUCCCACACAAAUGUAUAGAAACAACCCCAGGUGGAAUUUGGGUCAGUUAAGAUUUAUAUAUGCAGGCAAACAUCAGGUCAGAUGCAAAGAAAUAGUUCUUGCCUAUUCUCUUCAUUAAUUGAAAAAAAAGAAGUGUUUAUAAAAAGGAUGUUUUUACAAUAGCUUUUCAACUUAAGUAUUUGACACCUUCUUUAGCUGACCAAGAAAGUGUAUGUGUGGAAUCAAUUUAUCUGUGUAGUAAUACCAAAGUUUGAAAUCUGGCAUUUGAUGAGUCAGCCUGGGAGAAACUGGAAACACAUUGUGAGAGGUACCUUCUGUGAAAAAAGUGCAACUUUGUGACAUGAUAUUUCUGCCUGACUGUAUAUACCUGAGCAGCACACAGCUUAUUACUGCAUAAAAGAAACAUAUCAAGAUAAUUUUGAAUCAGAUUGUGUGCUGGAAAAAUGGCCUUACAUCCAAAGGAGUGAAAUUUGGAGAGUCAUUCGCCAUCUACUUAAGCCAUCCUGGAAUAUGAAAAAAUAAGACUGCAUUGACAACAUCCUGAUCCUCGUGUUCAGAUCUUUUGUGAUUUCUUGUGAAGAGUCUUUGAUUUUUCAUAAAAAUAAAAAAUAUAUUAAUAUAA